GGAUUCAAACUCAGAUGAAACAAAGUGUGGUCCAUUGUCUGACACUGGUUCCUUUUGGGUACCUUCUCUACUGAAGACUUCUGGAGAGAAAUGCACAAAGUCAUCAUUUAGAAGCAUCAGAGAGCGGACAGUAGGAGGCGGCACAGUUCUAGAUGGAGGGCAGAGCUCUUUGAGGUUAAUAAACAAGUGAUUGGCUGCUAGGAUGAUCACCAUCUUGCAACACCCUCCCUCCAUCCAGACAGGCUGAGCCUCCCUCGGAUCUUCGGUCUGUGUAAGCUUCCUUCAGAGAUCCUCUCAGAGCGAGAGUUCCCCAGACAUCCCUUCAGAGUCGGCUUCCUUACAGAGAUAGAGAGAUAGCCUUCAGAGAUCGAGUGAGAGAUCCUCCAUCAGCGACCCUCCAAGAUUGACCCUCCAAGAUUCUCCCCCUCAUGUUCUCUUCAACUCCUUUUUAACACACCCAAUAAGUGGGUGUGUAUCUCACCUUACUACGUCACUGACGAUGUCAAAUGAUGCUAUGUUAGGUAGGCUGCCAUAGCAACCAAGGAUGUGGCCAUUUUGAGUAAUGCCACUUUUAACCUGUAGGGACAGUCUUGUAUAAAGAAUGACUCCUAUUUUUCUGGGUCAGUGAGGCCGCAUAAUAAUUUAUGACCCCUUUUGUCCUAAGCCUUGAAAAACACAAUUAAUUGUCAACAUCUGUAAAACAAUGUCAAGUUUUAACAGACAACCCGGCUAUUUCUCAAUUUAUGAUUGAGAUAAGGUUUAUGAUUAACACUAAUGGUUUGGGAAGUUCCUUUGAACUAAUACUGGAAUUUAAGUUAAGCAGUUUCUAAUACUUUUAAACUUUAU